rnacentral:rRNA from 1 species
UAUAGAUGGAUCCGCGCUGCAUUAGCUAGUUGGUAAGGUAACGGCUUACCAAGGCAACGAUGCAUAGCCGACCUGAGAGGGUGAUCGGCCACACUGGAACUGAGACACGGUCCAGACUCCUACGGGAGGCAGCAGUAGGGAAUCUUCCGCAAUGGGCGAAAGCCUGACGGAGCAACGCCGCGUGAGUGAUGAAGGUCUUCGGAUCGUAAAACUCUGUUAUUAGGGAAGAACAUAUGUGUAAGUAACUGUGCACAUCUUGACGGUACCUAAUCAGAAAGCCACGGCUAACUACGUGCCAGCAGCCGCGGUAAUACGUAGGUGGCAAGCGUUAUCCGGAAUUAUUGGGCGUAAAGCGCGCGUAGGCGGUUUUUUAAGUCUGAUGUGAAAGCCCACGGCUCAACCGUGGAGGGUCAUUGGAAACUGGAAAACUUGAGUGCAGAAGAGGAAAGUGGAAUU